rnacentral:rRNA from 1 species
GACGAACGCUGGCGGCGUGCUUAACACAUGCAAGUCGAACGGAAAGGCCCUGCUUUUGUGGGGUGCUCGAGUGGCGAACGGGUGAGUAACACGUGAGUAACCUGCCCUUGACUUUGGGAUAACUUCAGGAAACUGGGGCUAAUACCGGAUAGGAGCUCCUGCUGCAUGGUGGGGGUUGGAAAGUUUCGGCGGUUGGGGAUGGACUCGCGGCUUAUCAGCUUGUUGGUGGGGUAGUCUUACCAAGGCUUUGACGGGUAGCCGGCCUGAGAGGGUGACCGGCCACAUUGGGACUGAGAUACGGCCCAGACUCCUACGGGAGGCAGCAGUGGGGAAUAUUGCACAAUGGGCGGAAGCCUGAUGCAGCAACGCCGCGUGCGGGAUGACGGCCUUCGGGUUGUAAACCGCUUUCGCCUGUGACGAAGCGUGAGUGACGGUAAUGGGUAAAGAAGCACCGGCUAGCUACGUG